UGUAACAAUUAUACAAUGUGAAACUGCGAAUGGCUCAUUAAAUCAGUUAUCGUUUAUUUGAUAGUACCUUACUACUUGGAUAACCGUGGUAAUUCUAGAGCUAAUACAUGCUAAAAACCUCGACUUCGGAAGGGGUGUAUUUAUUAGAUAAAAAACCAAUGCCCUUUGGGGCUCCUUGGUGAUUCAUAAUAACUUAACGAAUCGCAUGGCCUUGUGCCGGCGAUGGUUCAUUCAAAUUUCUGCCCUAUCAACUUUCGAUGAUAAGGUAGUGGCUUAUCAUGGUGUCAACGGGUAUCGGGGAAUUAGGUACGAUCACGCGACUUCUCUACCUGCCACUCGUGCUAACAUUAUUAUUAUAGGGUUCUAUUCCGGAGAGGGAGCCUGAGAAACGUAAGUUUGGCCUGAUCUAUCCCUAUAGUACGUAUACUAACAUUCUAUCUAGGGCUACCACAUCCAAGGAAGGCAGCAGGCGCGCAAAUUACCCAAUCCCGACUCGGGGAGGUAGUGACGAUAAAUACUGAUACAGGGCUCUUUUGGGUCUUGUAAUUGGAAUGAGUACAAUUUAAAUCCCUUAACGAGGAACAAUUGGAGGGCAAGUCUGGUGCCAGCAGCCGCGGUAAUUCCAGCUCCAAUAGCGUAUAUUAAAGUUGUUGCAGUUAAAAAGCUCGUAGUUGAACCUUGGGCCUGGCUGGCCGGUCCGCCUCACCGCGUGCACUGGUCCGGCUGGGUCUUUCCUUCUGGGGAGCCGCAUGCCCUUCACUGGGUGUGUCGGGGAACCAGGACUUUUACUUUGAAAAAAUUAGAGUGUUCAAAGCAGGCCUAUGCUCGAAUACAUUAGCAUGGAAUAAUAAAACAGGACGUUGCAGUUCUAUUUUGUUGGUUUCUAGGACCGCCGUAAUGAUUAAUAGGGAUAGUCGGGGGUAUCAAUAUUCAAUUGUCAGAGGUGAAAUUCUUGGAUUUAUUGAAGAUUAACUACUGCGAAAGCAUUUACCAAGGAUGUUUUCAUUAAUCAGUGAACGAAAGUUAGGGGAUCGAAGACGAUCAGAUACCGUCGUAGUCUUAACCAUAAACUAUGCCGACUAGGGAUCGGGCGAUGUUAUUUUUUUGACUCGCUCGGCACCUUACGAGAAAUCAAAGUCUUUGGGUU
rnacentral:rRNA from 1 species